UACACUAGUAAAAAUAAAACGAUGAUCGGUCAUCUUUUGAGAAAGCUGAUCGAAAUUCGCCUAUUUUUUAUUGAUUUGAAAAGCUGAUUUUCAGUGUUUCCCAAUUGAUGAUAUGUCAUUUAUUCAAAAAGCUGAAAAGUGUUUUCAGAUUUAACAAUAAAUUCUAUCAGAUGUCUGUGGAAAACUUUUUGCUCAGAUCUAAAGAGUAUUCUGAGAGCAAAAUCUUGCAACUUUUCACGAUUUUCCACAAGAAAAUCGAGUAAAAAGUCUUCGUUAUUUCAUCUAUUAGAAACACUGAAAAAAACGUCGCUUAUUUUACAUACAUUCCAACCAUCUUUUAAAUCACUGUAAAUUACUAAUAUUUUCAGACGGGAUUUUCUUGGGGAAAAAUUGGUGGGACUGAGCAGGUUACACAUUUUUUGCCUUUGCUCUGUCCCAAAAAGUAGGUUGAGCAUGAAUUAUUAUUUCAAUUUGCUCUAUUUUGUUUGUAAAACGGGUAAUAUUUUUCGUGCAACUUCAUUUCUUGAAACACUGAAAAACAUCUUUUACAAAUAUCCGUGGUUGACACAUCACAAACAUGUCAGUUGUCAAAGAAAAGGGCGUCAGUGCGGUGGCGUCUUCGUUUUUUCUGCGCAAUUUAUCGCAAAAAAAUAAAUAAAUGGGCACAUUUUCUCCACCAAAACUUUUUGGAGAUGCCCUACGUGUGUGAAGUGCAUUGGAAGUGUAGUGAUGAUGGUGUGAAAGGGAUGUUGGUGCAGUGAAAAGUGAAAGACAUCCCCCUUGCCUCUUGUGCCUGUUGCUGUUGAGGAGAAAACGGGGCAUUUACGCAUAAGAAAGAUCCAAUCUGAGGCAGGUUGAGUUCACCGGAUCCUGCAUCAGCUUGAUCUCCAGGAAUCUCCAGGACAAAUUGUGCUGUGUGCUCCACAUCUUGUAAGACACAUCAGAAACUGCAAGUGUGCAGGUGAAACUGCUUCUCCAGGGAGGAAUUUUGUCAGUAAGUUCGGAUGCCGGACCUUAGAAUCUACUACAAGGAAGACACCCUGGUACAGGAGGUAAGCUGCUGAGAGCUCAAAGUGGUGUGAUCUCAUCUAGAUGCGACAAGAUGCCACACGAGAAAGGAUGAUUGCAGAUCUGCAUUCCCUGUCAGAGAUCGUCAACGAGAUUACAAUCAUCAAAUUUCAGCGUGAGGCAGUUAAUCGAGGCAACCAUUGUUGGGGUGACAGUCGAAGAUGCUCUCCUAACCACUUCCGGAAGGAGAUAAAUAAAGUCACGGAUGGUUGAGAUGAUGGUCUGGAUUCAGAUGGUUCAGGUGGUAAUUCAGGUUGUUCAGGUGAGUUUAAUGAAAAAUUUUAUUUAAUUUUUUCAUGACAGGCUUCUGAUUUUUUUUAAAUAAUUUUUUUUUCUCAAAAUCCCCAUUCUCAAAAAUUUUGGUUUUUGCUAUUGAUCAGUAACAUUGAGUACUAUAUUCCCUAAAAAGAAGAGCUUUCCCUUUUGUGUUUAACUUUUCUUAAAUAAUUAAAAUUUUACCACAUUUUUAAAAUCAAAUAACAUUAGUUGAACUCGAAAUUUAAGUUCAAUAUUUUCGGGAAUAUAGUACUCACUAAAACUUGUGAACAGUUAAAUAAAAUCAUUUUUUUUUUAAUUCGCAUUUAUGAUUUUCUUAUUUUUACAUAAAAAUGUCUUCUAUUGACAAAAAAAACUUCUAGUCAUAUUUAACUCAAGUAGGGGAAAGUACUCUCCCUUCGAACGUUCAUGCCUUCGAAUAAUAUGAAUUUUCUUUUAAUUUUCCUAAGACACCUACACAAUUCUAUUAAAUAUUAGUUAGCUUAUUAUUAAUUAUUCGUAAUUACGUGAUAAUUAUGUGUAAAUCUCUAAGGAAACAUAAAAUUAACUCACAUUAUUCGAAGGCAUGAACGUUUGAAAGGAGAGUACUUUCCCCUACUAUAAGUGUGUUUUGUUUUGUCUUUCCAGUUUUAGAAAAAAUCAAUUAAAAAAAUUUAAAAAAAAAAAAUUUAAAAAAUGAAAUUAAAGUUUAAAAGAUCAACACGUUAACACCUGUGUCAAAUGAUUCUUAAAGUUGUAUUUUUGUCAAUAAGACACAUUUUUAUUUAAAAAUAAAAAAAUAUCUAAAAUGCAAGUUCAAGAAAUUUUGAUUUUUUAACUGUUCAUAAGUUUUAAAGAGUACUCUAUUCUCUGUAAAACUGAACUUCCAAUUUUGUGUUAAACUGGUGUUAUUUAAUUUUUGAAAAUGUCGUAAAAUUUUAAUUAUUUAAAAAACGUUAGACGCAAAAAUGGUAGUUCUCCUUUUUAGGGCAUAUAGUACUCAAUGUUACUGAUCAACAGUAAAAAAUUAAAAUUUUUAAGAAUGGGAAUUUUUGGAAAAAAAAUUCUUUAAAAAAUCAGAACCCUGUCAUGAAAAAAUUGAACUAUGAAAUAAAAUAAAGUUAGAAAAAAUUUCAACCACUUUUCCGGGGUAGAGUGCUUUAAAGUUUUCGUCGAUGCCAUUUUUGACACCCUGUAUCUGAGGCCAAGAAUAUUUUUUAGCAAAGUGAAAAAAAUAUAUGGAUUUUAAUAUAUGUAAAUAAAAAAAGCAUUUAAAACCAUGAUGGAGCGAUUUUCAUUUUUCCCUUCUGAAUUGAGAUUAGAUCUGUCUGAAUUGAGAUUUUAUUUUCAAAACGUGUAUAUUUUGUACACAAUUCUAACCUUUUUUGAAGCCGUGCGAAUUUUAUACACCGUCUUUGGAUUUUUUCUAGCCUUUUUUUUACUAAGGCUGCGUUAGUUUUAUAACUAACCUAAACUGUAUUCGAUUUUUUUUGGAAAAAAAACAAAUGGUCAAUAAAAAGUCAAAAGUGGUCAACAGAAAAUUAAAUUUGAUUAGCAAAUAAUUCGAAAUAAUCAGUAAAAAUUUUCAAUUUUGUCAGUAAAAAGUAAAAUUUUGUCAGUAAGAAGUUAAAUUUGGUCAGUAAAAACUUUGAAUUGAUCAAUAGAUAUAUUCGAGUUGAUCAGUAAAAAAUUAAAAAUUAAUCGGCAAAAAAUUAAAAAUGGUCAGUAAAAAAAAUGGUCAGUAAAAAAUUAAUAAUGAACAGUAAAAAUAUUCGAGUUGAACAGCAAAAAAUUAAAAAUGAGCAGUAAAAUAUAAAAAGUGGUCAGCAAAAAAUUAAAAAUGAUCAUUAGAAAUAUUCGCAUUGAUCAGUGAAAUAUAAAAAAGUGGUCAGCAAAACAUUAAAAAGGAGCAGUAAAAAAUAAAAAUUGGUCAGUAAAAAAUUGAAAGUGGUCAUUAAAAAAUUAAAUGGUCAGUAGAAAAUAGAAAUUGGUCAGUAAAAAAUUAAAAGUACUCAGUAAAAAAUAAAAAUUGAUCAGUAAAAAAUUAAAAGUAGUCAGUAAAAAAUUAUGUGGUCAGUAGAAAAUAGAAAUUGGUCAGUAAAAAAUUAAAAACGAGCAGUAGAAAAUAAAAAGUGGUCAGCAAAAAAUUAAAAGUGGUCAGUAAAAUAAUAAAAAUUUGUCAGUAAAAAUUAAAAGUGAACAGUAAAAAAUUAAAUGUGUUCAGUAAAAAUUAAGUGUUCAGUAAAAAAUUAAAUGUGGUCAGCAAAAAAUAAAAAUUGCUCAGCAAAAAAUUAAAAAUGAGCAGUUAAAAAUAUAAAUUGGUCAGUAAAAAAUUAAAAGUGGUCAGUAAAAAAUAAAAAUUGAUCAGUAAAAAAUUAAAAGUGAACAGUAAAAAAUUAAAUGUGUUCAGUAAAAAAUUAAAUGUGGUUAGAAAAAAAUAAAAUUUGGUCAGUAAAAAAUAAAAAGUGGUCAGUAAAAAACAAAAA